AUGCCGGGCAGAAGAGGCGUGACCUUGCUCGAGGAUCUGCCGGAUGAUAUCAUGGAUAAGAUACUCAUCAGGUUGCCGUCCAAGGAUGUCGGCCGCUGCCGCACCGUCAGCGCGUCAUGGCGCAGCGCGACAUCCACGCCUGCAUUCGUGCUCGAGCACCGCCGCCGCCAGCCGUCGUUCCCCAUCGUCGAUGGCCAGGGGCGGCCCGCCAGCCUCGUCGUCGUCCGUGACGCCAAUGUCCAUGAGCAGCUCUGGCCUUUCCUCCCGGGUUCCGAACAUCGCUUGCAGAAUAGCCUCAGAGGCGCCUGCGAUGGCUUCCUCAUCGUCUCUCGAGGUAACCAGCUCUACAUCUGCAACCCGGUCAUCCGCACGUGUGCUCUCCUACCGGAGCCUCAGAGGCAAUACAACACCAUAGCCGGUUUCUACUGCCACCAUUCAACUGGAGAAUAUAGGGUGCUCUGGGUCUCUCAGUCACAUGACUCAUCUACAUCCAGCUUAUACGUCCUCACGGUGGGAUCCGACAAGCCGAGGCACAUCAGAGUCAGAAUGCCGACAGUUUCAUCGCCUUCUGCAGAACAGAAGCUACUCAACAAGCUGCGUUUUUCAUCCGACUGUUCACCACCAGUCCACCACCGUGGUAGCUUGCACUGGCGUCAUUGUGGUACCAGCGGCAUUAUGGGAGGCGGCGGAGACAUUAUUGUGUUCGACGCAGAAGCAGAGUCAUUCCGAUGGAUGCGCGGUCCCACCCAACCAUGCCAUUGUAGGAAGUUGUUCGACAUGGAGGGGACACUUGCUUUGUGGGGCGGCUCGACUACCAGGUCCACUUCUAUGGAUGUCUGGGUGAUGCACGAUUAUGAUGCUGAAAUCUGGGCUUUCAAGUACCGGAUUGACCUGUCAACCGUAGAGGCAUCACGACAACUUUAUUCAACUUCUUUUGUAAAGAAAAGGAUAAGGUCGCUCGAUUCUACGGUGCGAUUGUUGAACGAUAUUACUGUGCUAAACAAGUGUGAGCUGCUGAUCAUGUUCAACAAGAAGCAUGUGUUGCGCUGCGAUGUUGAUGGCAAGUUCCUAGGUGUUGUGAACAUUGGGAAGAGUCACUACUGCAUGUUGCUUACUCAGCACCGCCUCCAAGAGAGCAUUGUUCCAAUUCCAGGCCAUGAUAUGAUGCAAGAAAAGUCGAGGAGCCUCCAUUCUCCACAGGGCAUGUCUGAAUGGUCAUGA
rnacentral:rRNA from 1 species